rnacentral:tRNA from 1 species
GGAGAGGUGGCUGAGUGGCUUAAAGCAUUGGUUUGCUAAACCAACAUACAGAUUUUCCUGUAUCAUGGGUUCGAAUCCCGUUCUCUCUGA